GAGGGAGGCUGGGGAGGAAGGCUGGGGAGGCAGGCUGGGGAGGGAGGCUGAGGAGGCAGUCUGGGGAGAGAGGCUGGGGAGGGAGGCUGGGAAGGGAGGCUGGGGAGGAAAGCUGAAACUCAGGGAGGACUUUCCAGGAGGAACCCAGGAGCUGGGAAUGAUUCUCUCUUUGAUCUUCCUGGGGAGCUGAAGCCAGCAAGGCAAACAGCCUGGAAGGGGGUGGUUGGAUAUGGAGGUCAUCUGGGGUGCCCGUGUUCCAGUCAGCAGCCCUUCCUUCUCCUUCCCUCCUCCCUUUCCCUGUCCCCUCCUCUAUCUGGCUUUGGAGACAGGGUCUCAUGUAGUCCAGGCUAGUCCCAAAUUCACUAUGUGGCUGAGGAUGACCUUGAACUCCUGACCCUCCUGACUCAGCCUCAGGUACAUAGUAAAUUCCAGACUAGACUGGGCCACAAGACCCUGUCCCCUGCCAUCUGAGAGCCACCUCAUCAGCCCGAGGAUAUGAAUUGUUAACCUGACACAACAAUCCCCAUAGGAGGGAGUCUCGAUGGUCUUCGUCUCAUGGGCCUCCGAAAAGGGCUGUGCUGAAUCUGUUUCCUUUCCAAAGCUGUCAUUACUACUAUUGUUGUCCUGUGUAUGUGUGUUCCCUGUGUGUAUGAGAAGCAGUGCAUGCAGUUUGCGUGGUGCCCAGAAGGGGGAGCCGCGUCCCCUGGAGCUGGUGGUACAACUGGUUUUGGAAACUGAACUGGGGUCCUUUGGAUGAGCUGUGUGCCCUCUUAACUGCCCAGCCAGCUCUCCCACCAGAGAUCUUUUCUUUUUCUUUUUUCUUUUUCAAUUUGUUUUUUUGGUUUUUUUUUUUUUU
rnacentral:lncRNA from 1 species